rnacentral:rRNA from 1 species
UAAUACAUGCAAGUCGAACGCUUUGUCUUUAAUUGAUAUGAAGAGCUUGCUCUGAUUUGAUUUUAUCUGACAAAGAGUGGCGAACGGGUGAGUAACACGUGGGUAACCUACCUCUUAGCAGGGGAUAACAUUUGGAAACAAGUGCUAAUACCGUAUAACACUAACAACCGCAUGGUUGUUAAUUGAAAGAUGGUUCUGCUAUCACUAAGAGAUGGACCCGCGGUGCAUUAGCUAGUUGGUAAGGUAAUGGCUUACCAAGGCGAUGAUGCGUAGCCGAGUUGAGAGACUGAUCGGCCACAAUGGGACUGAGACACGGCCCAUACUCCUACGGGAGGCAGCAGUAGGGAAUCUUCCACAAUGGGCGCAAGCCUGAUGGAGCAACGCCGCGUGUGUGAUGAAGGGUUUCGGCUCGUAAAACACUGUUAUAAGAGAAGAACGACAUUGAGAGUAACUGUUCAGUGUGUGACGGUAUCUUAUCAGAAAGGAACGGCUAAAUACGUGCCAGCAGCCGCGGUAAUACGUAUGUUCCAAGCGUUAUCCGGAUUUAUUGGGCGUAAAGCGAGCGCAGACGGUUAUUUAAGUCUGAAGUGAAAGCCCUCAGCUCAACUGAGGAAGGGCUUUGGAAACUGGAUAACUUGAGUGCAGUAGAGGAAAGUGGAACUCCAUGUGUAGCGGUGAAAUGCGUAGAUAUAUGGAAGAACACCGGUGGCGAAAGCGGCUUUCUGGACUGUAACUGACGUUGAGGCUCGAAA